CAAAGUAUCUUCUGCGCACUGAUUUAUUGAAUGGCCGCAGUACUCUGACUGUGCUAAGGUAGCGUGAUUCUUGUUUUCUUAAUUAGAAAUCUGUACAAAGAAUGAUAUGUGGAAAAUCUAUUGUUUUCAUACUUAAAUAAACUUAAAUUGUUAGUGAAAAUUCUAACUAGCUCUUAAAAGACGAGAAGACCCCAUAAAACUUAAUUUAACCACUUAUUUUUUACUUUUUCAAAUUUAAAUGGGGACUUUAGAGUAAAAUAAUAACUUGUUGACCUAUAAAUUUAAUAACUGAGAAGCUACUUUGGGGAUAACAGGGUGAGAUAUUUAAAGAGUUCUUAUCGAUAAAUAUAAAAAU
rnacentral:rRNA from 1 species